rnacentral:lncRNA from 1 species
GUCUCCUUGUUGAGAGGUGAAAGGUCAGAGACAAGAAAGACAGUAUAAAAACGGUUGUGGGAGACUUUGUGCGGGGGACAAAAGAAGUUGGACCAAGAAAGACAGAUGCAAGUUGUCGAGAGAGGAACUGUCAUUGGCCAAAAACAAUCGUCGAAGAAGGAAUCAGCAACUGGAAAAGGUGUAAAAACUAUCACUCACCUCUGCCAAAGAGCCAGUGAAAUUCCUCAUUGCUGCAAAUAUUUAUCAUCUGCCUUAAUCAAGAACCUCAACCGUAUCCAGUUGUCUGGGCUCCCUCUCCGUCUCCGUCAUCCUCAUCAUGUCAACUGAAACGUUUAUUUGGAUUUUCCCUUACUUCAAGCUAUUUUCCUCUCAUUAUUGUUGGGAAUAUGCUUGUAAAGGACUCUCUUACCAAUCAAUAAAUGGAAGCUUUGUUUUUGAAACAGUAGUCUCUAUUUGACUGAGCAUUGCUUCAUUAUCUAUCC